rnacentral:rRNA from 1 species
GAUGAACGCUGACAGAAUGCUUAACACAUGCAAGUCUACUUGAACUUCGGUUUGGGUGGCGGACGGGUGAGUAACGCGUAAAGAACUUGCCUCACAGAUAGGGACAACAUUUGGAAACGAAUGCUAAUACCUGAUAUUAUGAUUUUAGGGCAUCCUAGAAUUAUGAAAGCUAUAUGCACUGUGAGAGAGCUUUGCGUCCCAUUAGCUAGUUGGAGAGGUAACGGCUCACCAAGGCGAUGAUGGGUAGCCGGCCUGAGAGGGUGAUCGGCCACAAGGGGACUGAGGCACGGCCCUUACUCCUACGGGAGGCAGCAGUGGGGAAUAUUGGACAAUGGACCAAGAGUCUGAUCCAGCAAUUCUGUGUGCACGAUGAAGUUUUUCGGAAUGUAAAGUGCUUUCAGUUGGGAAGAAAAAAAUGACGGUACCAACAGAAGAAGUGACGGCUAAAUACGUG